GUGACAGCAACUACCUCUUAGAUAUUCCUUCAGUAACUCUAGGGUUUAUGAACUGUCCCCUAAUUCAGAGUAAACUGUCAUUUGGGAGUGAUAACAAGAGGAUAAAGACAUCACAGAUGGGGAGAAGGAAGCUGGACUUCUGUCUUGAUAUAAAAAAAGGAGGAAAUAUAUCAUCCAUGGGAAAGCUCAGUGAGUCCUGGAUAGGAGUUGAGGGGGUUUGCUGACGAGAUAGCCUUGAACUGAGCCUUCCACAUAUGGGAAUCAGGAGCUGCGAGCCUCCAAGCAGCAUCUGGACGUUCCUGCUUGUUAUGGUUCCUGGAAGUCAGAGAUUUUAUAUCAUUAAUAUAUUCAUUCCAAAAACCAGGUGUUGGGGACGGCAAAGUUGCUUUCCUGAGAGGUCAUGGAUUUUACUCUUUUUGCCAAGAAGAAAAUGGUCCUAAGGAAAAGGAAAAGACCAAUAUUGUGUCCUCAGCUCAGAGUAAACUCCAUGCAUUGGAUUCCUAUGGUGCAGUUUGUGUCUGACACUGGUAUCUGCGAGAGAGAAGUGCUACCAAGUUGAGACUUCAUCAUCAGAGUCUUUUCACUAGUAUUACUCUGAGUACCAUUCCCUGACAGUUACCCUUUAUAUGUCUGAGUCAAUAGGGACUUACAGCCUCAGGAGAAAGAUAACAUGGGACUUUAAUAAACAUGCAUCGUGUAGUAA